rnacentral:lncRNA from 1 species
UCCCGCGCAUGCUCUAUGGGGUAGAGACGCUAGGCCGGCACUGCCUAGGUGGGCCGGGCGGUGCGAGGGUCGCCUUUCAGCCUUUACCUCUACCCACUGAAAUGGAGUAGGUCGGUGAGCGCCGAUCUGCUGGAGAAUCUCAUUAUCCCAUCGGCGCUCUGCCUGCUCCUGGCCUCCAAGCCUCUGAAGCCCCUCGGGUUUCAGCUGCCGGCUACCCUCGAGCCCGUGGUGCCCACGAGAGAGGCGACUUUACGUCAGCGGCCCUGGGCUGAGAUUUGAGAACGCGACCAAGUGGAGAAUGUUGGAGCCAGAUUUUAAAAUCCUUGUCUUCCUUCUGCGUGCUACUUGAUCUAAAUGAGAUACGGCAAAGUCACAGAACCUGUUUUUAUGUUUUUGCCUGAUUCAUACGGGCUUCUCCGGUGAAGAUGGGCCUGAAGUAACGCUUGGGUUGCUUCUGACGUUAUAACUCAUCCUGUAGCUGCAGCAACCGUGGUCCUUGCAACCUCAUAAAAAUGUUGCCAGCAUUGUUUCGAUAGUGCUGCUUAAUUCUUGGAAGGCCUCUUUGCUUUCUUCCCUGAGGUUCUUCGGACUUCACACAUUCCAGCAGUAGCUCUCUCAGCUCCUGUCCUGCACAGCUUUGAAGUGCUGGUGAUGUCAUUGAACUCUUAAGUGCAAGAUGAAACAAGUCUUUCUGGGGUUCUAAGUAGGACACAGCCCUGGUGAUGGCUUUCUGAGGAUGACACGAUGGAGGCUUCUCCAAUAGCUCUAAAACUGCGGUGUGGAAAACAUUCGGCAGCCUCAAAGAGCGGUCUUGUUGACCCCAACUAUAUCAUUUUUCAUCAAAAUCAUUCUUGUAAAGAAUGACCAGGCAACACUCUUUGAAAAUUGGAGGCCAUUUGCAGCUGCUCUCUGUUGAGGAAAGUGAAUAAUAGGGUGCCCUCAAGGAAUUGCAAAGGUAUCACUCAACAGAAACUUUCGUGUCUGAAGAAAACUAGAUCAUUUUAUCAUGGUAGGCAUGCUGAUAUGUUUGCUUUAAUAAAAUGCCAUAUUUCUGCCUUUAAUCUCUUGUCAACCCGCUAUUAAAAAGCCCCAAAGUGCAUGUGUGCAGCGCAUGUAAACACUUGUGGUUUUGAGGUUACCACAGAACAUACUAAUAAAGCAUGUAAUUUGUGUUUUGUGCACAAAAAAAAAAAAAAAAAA